AGGCCCCACCCUCCUCUGCAGCAGGGGGAGGGGAUAAGAGAGGUCUGGGGGACCAGGCACAGGGUUGGGGGCUCAGAAGGCAGCACUCUGGGGCGUCUCCACCAUGGCCUGGGCUCUGCUCCUUCUCACCCUCCUCACUCAGGGCACAGGGUCCUGGGCCCAGUCUGCCCUGACUCAGCCUUCCUCGGUCUCCGGGACUCCAGGACAGACGGUCACCAUCUCCUGCACUGGAACCAGCAAUGACGUUGGGGGAUAUAACUAUGUCUCCUGGUACCAACAGCUCCCAGGAACGGCCCCCAAACUCCUGAUUUAUCAGGUCAAUAAACGAGCCUCCGGGAUCCCUGAUCGCUUCUCUGGCUCCAAGUCUGGCAACACGGCCUCCAUGACCAUCUCUGGGCUCCAGUCUGCGGACGAGGCUGACUAUUACUGUGCCUCAUAUAGAAGUAGCUACAAUCCUGUGUUCGGCGGAGGGACCAAGCUGACCGUCCUAGGUCAGCCCAAGGCCGCACCCUCGGUCACCCUGUUCCCGCCGUCCUCUGAGGAGCUCACCGCCAACAAGGCCACCCUGGUGUGUCUGAUCAGUGACUUCUACCCGGGCAGCGUGACGGUGGCCUGGAAGCAAGAUGGCACCACCGUCACGCAGGGCGUGGAGACCACCAAGCCCUCGAAGCAGAGCAACAACAAGUACGCGGCCAGCAGCUACCUGACCCUGUCGCCCAGCACGUGGAAGUCUCACAGCAGCUACAGCUGUCGGGUCACGCACGAGGCGGGCACCGUGGAGAAGACGGUGUCCCCCUCCCAGUGUUAGGCCCCCGGGCCCCCACCCUCGGGGGCCUGGAGACACAGGACCCCCGGGAGAGUCUCCCCUCCCACCCGGGGCCGCCCAGCCCUUCCUCCUGCACCAAUCAGCUCUCAAUAAAAUGUCCUCAUUUCAUUCAGAAA